rnacentral:rRNA from 1 species
AACUCUGCAAUAAGCGAAAGCUUGACAGGGCUAUUCUGAGUGAUUUCCGCUAAGGAAGUCUUUUGGUACCUCUAAAAAUGGUGCAGAAUAAGGGGUGGGCAAGCCUGGUGUCAGCCGCCGCGGUAAUACCAGCACCCCGAGUGGUCGGGACGAUUAUUGGGCCUAAAGCAUCCGUAGCCGGUUCUACAAGUCUUCCGUUAAAUCCAUCUGCUUAACAGAUGGGCUGCGGAGGAUACUAUGGAGCUAGGAGGCGGGAGAGGCAAGCGGUACUUAGUGGGUAGGGGUAAAAUCCGUUGAUCCACUGAAGACCACCAGUGGCGAAGGCGGCUUGCCAGAACGCGCUCGACGGUGAGGGAUGAAAGCUGGGGGAGCAAACCGGAUUAGAUACCCGGGUAGUCCCAGCUGUAGACGAUGCAGACUCGGUGAUGAAAAGGCUUCGUGCCUUUUCAGUGCCGCAGGGAAGCCGUUAAGUCUGCCGCCUGGGGAGUACGGUCGCAAGACUGAAACUUAA